ACAUUAGGUCUCUGUGCAAAGGCAGAGGCUGUGGGAGCAGCAUCAAGCAAGACUUCGGGCAGUGAUUCUAACUAUUGCCUAUGAACACCGUGGCUGGGACGACUUUGACGAGGCAAUUUAUUACUUACGCAUAGAACACUGGCUGUGCUGAAACUGGGAGCGCAAACAGCCCCUUGUUUUCUAAUUUAGAGACUUGCAUCUUUUCGACACUCAACAGUAUCAAGACACUCUGCUACUACAGAUUGAUUUCCACCAUCAACACCUUUACCUCUUCCCGCCUGAAAAUAAAAUAUGAAAUAUAACAAGUAAAUCGCAAUCUACCUUGGGAAAUCAUCUUUCGGGAAUUUAUCUAAGAAGAACUUCUUAUGAUGCUGUUCCAGCUGCAUACUUUCAUUAAUUCAUUCCACGAAUCACCAAAGGAUAUAUGAAGUCUGGGGGUAAGACCUGCAGUAAUUUCCCUUAAGAUAAGGCAGAAGGAUCCAGCUGAGAACCCUACUCCAAUGGCUGUUCUUCCCCUCUCCCAGUCCUGUUCCUUGAAGGGAUCCUUUCUCAACCCUCUCUCUCAUUAUUUUUCUUUCUAGGUCUCCUAGUGGUCACCAACAUAUUUUACUUUUAGGAGCCAAAGUUCAGAUACUACAGAAUUUCCAAGGACUUGAGGAAUAAUUGCACUCUUGAAAGAGCCUAUGAAAAAAGAAGAGACUUGGGAAAUUUAACAGAAGUUCACUUUCCACCACUGCGCAAACUAAGGAAAAACUUAAAGCAGUAAAUAGCUGCGGUUGGCAAAGCUGUUUUGGCUCAGGAGCAGCUAUCAGGCCUUGAUAAGGUCCACAAGUCUGCUGUUCUAAAAUCAAAAAAAAAAAAAAAAAAAACAA
ensembl:lncRNA LINC03000 long intergenic non-protein coding RNA 3000